UACGUAGGGUGCAAGCGUUAAUCGGAAUUACUGGGCGUAAAGCGUGCGCAGGCGGUGAUGUAAGACAGAUGUGAAAUCCCCGGGCUCAACCUGGGAACUGCAUUUGUGACUGCAUCGCUGGAGUACGGCAGAGGGGGAUGGAAUUCCGCGUGUAGCAGUGAAAUGCGUAGAUAUGCGGAGGAACACCGAUGGCGAAGGCAAUCCCCUGGGCCUGUACUGACGCUCAUGCACGAAAGCGUGGGGGAGCAAACAGG
rnacentral:rRNA from 1 species